AGAUUGAACGCUGGCGGCGUGCCUAACACAUGCAAGUCGAGCGGUAACAGGUGUAGCAAUACAUGCUGACGAGCGGCGAACGGGUGAGUAAUGCUUUGGAAUCUUCCCAGUAGUGGGGAAUAACCAGUCGAAAGAUUGGCUAAUACCGCAUACGUCUGAAAAGGGAAAGCGGGGGCUCGUAAGACCUCGCGCUAUUGGAUGAGCCAAAGUCGGAUUAGCUAGUUGGUGGGGUAAUGGCCUACCAAGGCGACAAUCCGUAGCUGGUCUGAGAGGACGACCAGCCACACCGGAACUGAGACACGGUCCGGACUCCUACGGGAGGCAGCAGUGGGGAAUAUUGGACAAUGGGGGAAACCCUGAUCCAGCGACGUCGCGUGUGUGAAGAAGGCCUGCGGGUUGUAAAGCACUUUUAGUGGGGACAAAAAGCUACGGACUAAUACUCUGUGGUCUUGAUUUAACCCAAAGAAAAGCACCGGCUAACUCUGUGCCAGCAGCCGC
rnacentral:rRNA from 1 species